rnacentral:misc_RNA from 1 species
AAGUCGUAACAAGGUUUCCGUAGGUGAACCUGCGGAAGGAUCAUUAAUGCAAAUUGGAGAAACGGUGUGUCGCCUGUUGUGCCACGAGAACACAGCAUGCCUGCUAAGCUUCCUGAACAAGGACGCGUUGGUGUCUUGCGUUUUCAAUAAACACAAAGUUGGUGUCACAUUCGUAAGCUUUAAUCCCUGAUAACGCUCGACUUUUGUUUUAUUUAACAAAAGCUUCGACGUCACAAGUAACUUGAGACUUUUUCUUUUCUGUUGAAGAAAAGGAAAAUGUUCUCUAAUUUUUUACACCAUAAUUACCCUAUUCCUAUAAACUAUUAGACUGAUAUAAAAACAUUUACUUUGAUAAAUGUUAAAAACAAAUUAUUGAACAACUCUUAGCAAUGGAUAUCUAGGCUCUC